UCCAUUCACCCUGUAUUUAGGAGCAGGGUAUAAAAACCUCAAAAUCAUCAAAAAACCGUCCAAUCCAGUCGGUAGCAGAUUUGAAAGCAAUCGUCUCAUCCUGCAACAACCCACAGAAAAUUAUCCGUAUCUUCUUCCGUCAUUCGGGCCAAAUCAGAAUGAAGUUGUUGUCGCUCAUCCUUCUGGUGGUUUUGGUGGCGUGGAGCUGUUCCAUGGCGGAGGCGGUCAAGAUUAUGCGGUGCAAUAAGUCGCCCAUUGGGGGAAACAUUUGGGAUAACAGGGCAACGAAGGCUUGCGGGAAAGAACUUGAGCUUUACUGCUACAACUAUAGGGCGAAGCCAUACUGCGAAACGGCCACCGAGGAAAUCUCCGAAAACUUUAAAGAGUGCUGCAAGCAAAAAGACAGAGAAGGAACUUGGGAAGUUGAGAAUUAAGAUUGGCGAUCAAGUAUGUACAUACAUACAACACGACACCGCAGUGUGGAGACUUUGCAGCAAGAAAAUUUUAACAUUCUGUCGAUUUGACUAAUUUCAAACAAAUUUUAAAAAAUCAAUUGGCACAAUUUCAUGUGUAUCAUUUAUUUAUUAAUAAGAUGCUCACAGUACAAAAUAAUAAAUAUGUAAUUA